ensembl:miRNA
GAGGUGGCAGGAUUGCUUGAGCCUGGAAGGUUGAGGCUGCAGUGAGCCGUGAUUGUGCCACUGCACUCCAGCCUGAGUGACAGAGCGAGACUUGUCUCA